rnacentral:misc_RNA from 1 species
AACUUUCAACAAUGGAUCACUUGGCUCACACAUCGAUGAAGAACGCAGCGAAACGCGAUAGGUAAUGUGAAUUGCAGAAUUCAGUGAAUCAUCGAAUCUUUGAACGCAUCUUGCGCUUGCUGGUAUUCCGGCAAGCAUGCCUGUUUGAGUGUCAUGAAAAUUAUCAACCACGACUUGGGUUUAGGCCCCUGGCGCGGCUUGGAUUUGGGUGCUUGCGGCCUCGUGCUGCUCACCUCAAAAGGAUUAGCUGGACAUGUCGUGAGACUUGGUUCUACUUGGCGUAAUAAGUAUUUCGCUGAGGACAUCCCUCGGGGUGGCCAAGACUCUGGUACAAACGUCUGCUUUCUAACCCGACUGUCUCCGGACAUCACUUUUUAUGAUCUGGCCUCAAAUCAGGUAGGACUACCCGCUGAACUUAAGCAUAUCAAUAAGCGGAGGCU